AAAUAAGGGUCUAAGAAAUGAGGGUAUGAAGGAGGGGUAGCGAGAAUUGUGGCGGCGAAAGAGUGAGACACGAGAAUGCUGGAAGCGGCGAAGGGAAAAGAAGGAAGAAACAUGUGGAUAGUAAAACGCAACCUGAACAAAACAAAAACAAAGGGGUUUCUUCAUUCGACAUUCUAUGAUGUUUUUCAUAUGUAGUUUUCAAUCUGAAUAUUCUUCCUCGCUCUCCUUGCUGCUCGCGUUCUCCCACUCGCUCUCUCCACGCGCCACCCGAUCGCAAAUACCCUUCGGCCUCGUGAUGAUUAUCUGAAGAUUGUAGAACGUGUCCAUGUGGAAGCUGGUGGAGAUACUGGGAGUAGUGAAAAAAUGAUACUAAUACAACACUAGCGAUCUUCAUGGUCUAAUUAUUUAUACUGGGAGUAAAUUGUCAAAUUAGUAUAUGAAAAAUAUGUUGUCAAUCAUAUUAGUUUAUGAAUGAUGGAAACCAUCAAUUAGUUAUAAGGUCCUAAAAUGUGCAAUUUUAGGUCAAAUUAAUUCUCAUAUAAUGUAUGUCAGGGUCGAAUUUGAUUAGUUGUGGAUCUAAGUGCUAUUGAUAUUGUCUGACGUUUGUAGAUCCACUAGUUGGUUGUGUUGGUGUUCUAUCAUAGGGAAAAAUAAAAUUUGUAAAUUCUAACAGUCGUAGCUCAUGUUUUAUUUUGUUGGUGUUUCCUUUAGCUUCUUCCCUUGAUUUGUGCUUUCAACACAUUCUCCAGAAUCUUAGGUGAUAAUGAGGUAUUAUGCAGAAAAAUAGUCUCUAGGGGCUGAGUUUCUAGGGAAAACAGUAAAAAAGAGGGGGUUCUGAAACAUUGGCUAGACUAGAAGUUAAAAGACAGAACUUUGAUUCACCAACAUGGAAAAGGAGAGGAAGAAUGACAAUGUCAGGUAGGAUGAUAAAAGUAGAAGACCACCAUCGAAGAGGAAAAAUCGCUCAUACAAGGCAACUGCUAUAAGCCUAUCAGUAGUAGGGGUGGGCAAAAUUGAUGAUAUGAACUGUUAAAAAACUGAAGUGAACUGUAAAAAUAGAUUGGAUGAACUGAAUUGAAUUGUGUAGUUUUGGUGAACUAAACUGUAUUGCCUAACAGUUUAGGGAAACUUAACUUGGCAAGUCUGAAUUGACCCAAACAACCCGAACUAUUUUGAAUUGUUCUCAACAAACAUCUUAUUUGCUUUACCUUUUCACAAUUUUUUGUAUUAAAAAAGGACAGGGUGUGAGUCACAUGUUGGGACUGCUAGCAGAGACCCACUUAGAGGAGGAUUAUUGCACACACCUGAACCAUUUUUUUUUUCCAUUUUCACAUUUUUUUAGUCUCAUGGUUACAAUUCAGAAACAGUUUA